rnacentral:rRNA from 1 species
CCUACGUGUGGCAGCAGUGAGGAAUAUUGGUCAAUGGGCGCGCGCCUGAACCAGCCAAGUAGCGUGAAGGAUGACUGCCCUACGGGUUGUAAACUUCUUUUAUAAAGGAAUAAAGUGAGGCACGUGUGCCUUUUUGUAUGUACUUUAUGAAUAAGGAUCGGCUAACUCAGUGACCGCAGCCGCGGUAAUACGGAGGAGCCGAGCGUUAUCCGGAUUUAUGUGGUUUAAAGGGAGCGUAGAUGGGUUGUUAAGUCAGUUGUGAAAGUUUCCGGCUCAACCGUAAAAUUGCAAUUGAUACUGGCAGUCUUGAGUACAGUUGAGGUAGGCGGAAUUCGUGGUGUAGCGGUGAAAUGCUUAGAUAUCACGAAGAACUCCGAUUGCGAAGGCAGCUUACUAAACUGCCACUGACAUUGAUGCUCGAAAGUGUGGGUAUCAAACAGGAUUAGAUACCCGUGUAGUC